UCAUUCUUCUCAUUCACGCUUUCAUUCAAGCCUACAAAACCCUAAUUUUGUUCAUCGCCGAUAAGCAGAUCUACCACCAUCUCUUUCGAUUUCAUUAGCAUCUGCAUUGUAUUGGGUUUUAUCUCAUCUUUUGUGAUAAACAACCUAAUUCGAUGGCUCGGUUUUGUUUGAUUAGAAGAAUGAAGGUGUGCUUGGGUGACGGCUGGAUUUGGAUGUUAUUUAGGGUUUCGCUUGAAGUUGCCGAAGAAGAAAGGUGAAUUGUUAAGGGUGUCGGAUGAUACAAAAGCUUUGGAUCAGAUGGUUCAAGGUUUCAAGAUUAUUCUAACACUUAGGGAGAUGAAGAUCUAGGCGGAAAUUAAAGAUUCAUCUAGCCAAUACCAUCCACCAUCGCACAACACUCUCGCCACCAUGUUCUUCUUAUCUGAUCUCAUCAACAUCUGUAAGAACUCCAUAAUUUCCGAUCAUACGUCAUGAAAAUUGUGAUUCAUAUUUCAAUUAUGUGAGAUGAUCACCGGAGACAGUCCCAGAAUACUCACUGUUUUGAUUCGGUGUCCAGUUUAAAUGAGCAUUUCUUUGGAGACAAUGCAGCCAGGCGUCAUCAAAGCCAAAGCAGUAGCCGUAAAGGUUAGGUGGCUAUGGUUCGUAUUGUCUAAGAAUGAUGAUGAUUUAAGAAGGAGUGGUGUGAAUAUCGAUGUUUGGCAUACCAGGUGUUCGAUGAAAUGUCUAUAAGAGGUUUGAUAGGAUUUGUGUAAUAGUAAUACAUUUUUGUUUAAGGAAUAUUAAUUGUUUAUGUGCUUUUGAUUGUCUAAUUGAUGUUUUGCUUUAGUAUUGCAUUUUUUAACAAAUUAGUAUAGUAUGAAUUGUUUAACAGAUGAUCUCAAGAUAGUGGUGGUUAACAACGGUCAGUAGGGAUUUAGGUCCAAUGCAAGAAAGCAAUGUGCAUAUGGUUUCAUGUCCAUUUCGAUCAAAGUGGCGAUAGUAAUGGUGCAUACAUAAAUCUUUUUCGUUAUGGUCAUAUGUAAUUUUGGUGGUAAUAGUGUCAAUCAGAGAGGAUCAACAAAAACAAUAUGUUUCUUACCAGGAAGAUGGUGAUGAUGAGUUUAGUCCUCGAAAAAGAUCAAAACGAAGGUUGGAAAGAUACUAAAUUUUUGUUUGAGAAAAGUAGAAUGAUAACACAAUUAAACAAGUUGAACACAUCUUUGAUUUCCACUUUGUUAAAAAGUGUUAUGUUGAACACAAUUUUUAGUCUCCUGUAUCUGAUCCUUUUUUAAUGUGCAGCCAUCAACUCUAAAAUAUUAUCUCUUAACUAUUACGAGCUCAGCAGAGAUUAAAUCAGUGGAUGCACAAGAAUCAUUGAGAGACGAAGAUUGCAUGAAAAACGCUGACGAUAGUGAAGAGUUACUAUUGCUUUAAUCUUAGCUUGCUCAAUGAUGCGUUCGAUAAAGAAGGUUCUAAUCCUCAAUGGGCCCCCCUUAAAUGUUUCUCAUCUCGGGUAUUUAGUAUUUCGCAUACAUGUGUGUUUUACAAAAGAUAAAAUCGGUUUCGUUGUGGUUAAGGUUUAUUUCAAUUUCAAUUCAGACUAUUUAAUCAGCUGUGGCUGCGUUGCCAUUGAAUGCUUGAAUUAGGCUGGAAUUAUGUUAGUUAUUCAAUUUGAAAAGAUCAGUUGAGUUGGCUAAUGACACACUCAUCUGUUAAAUUGUUUUGAAAAUCAUUUCAAAUUUACAAGGAGUUAUAUGUUGAUAAGGUAAUUAUUAUCCAACUUUGGUUGCUAAAUUGAACGUUGGUCCUCUGGUAGUUGUGGCAACUGAUAAUAAAAGAUCGCGGAAUGUUGGCAACCGAUGAUAAAAGAUCGCGAAAUGUUGUCAAGGAUUCAACGCUGAUAUACAAUGACUGUAGAAUUGAGUAAAAAUGCAGGAUUCAGUUAUUCUAGGAGGAAAUAAGUUAGUGGAUAAAGGUCUUAUCAGGUACUUAGUGAUAGUUCUAUCACUCUACACUUCUUCUCAUUGCCUUCGGCCUAAGUUGCAGGUUCUAUCACGUGAAUUUAAGAUGUUUGGUGAUGAUAAGUUUAUAAAAUUUGAGGAGAUUAGUGUUAAGCAAGUGCAAAAUGUUGCAUGUUCAUGUGGCAUGAGGGCUCAGGGAACGUCUUAGCUUCUGCCACUUUUUUUUUUUUUGCUUUUGUAAUUUGAAUUUUGAACUUUUAAUAUUUGUUUUAUUAGUUCAAUAACAUGUGAUAAAUUUGAUCCAUUCUUUAGGUAGCACUUCCAAUGGAGACAACUACAUGAACGAUUUAAAGGUUUUGGAGUAGAUGUUGUGUAAGAAUAAGAAGACCGGGCUCAACAACCAUCCACAUUCUAGGAGGGUAACUGAACUAGGAGGGUAACUGAACUAGACGAGAUAACAACAUUGUUAUCCAUAUUACCAGACAGAUUUGUCGUCGACAUAUGGGUCUGGAGUUCGGAUGCAUCUGGUGUAUUUUUGCUAAAGAACUUCAAAUGAAUUCAAUAUCUUCUUCAGAGCAUGGCACGGUCUUUGAAUGGAACAAUUGGGUAUCGCUUAAAGUCAUUUUUUUAGCGUGGAGGUUGGGGUUGGAUCACUUGCCUACGAGUACAAAUCCGGCAAGACGAUGUGUCAGUAUUGGGUCUAUUAUGUGCAGCUUUUGUGGAGCAUGAGAAGCCUGCAGAACAUCUUUUAGUAUCGUGUGGGAUGGCGCAAACUAUCUGGGACUUUAUUAAUACAUGGUUCAGGCUUUAUGGCUUCUUUUUCUUUGGAUUCGAGGACCUGUUGAAGUUUUAUAAGCAAGCGAGAGGCUCUAUGAAGUGGAGAAAGGUCGUCUACUCCAUUAUUCUAACGGUCAUGUGGUGCAUUUGGCUAAGUCAAAACAAUGUUAUCUUAACCUGUAAACAACAUAAGGUGGAGAGUUUAAAGUAGGAAAUUAGAGUUUUAGCGUACCUAUGGGUUAAACAUCAGUCAAAAGCCGUUGGUUUAUCAUGGGAAAACUGGCGAAAUUUCGUUAUAAUUUUUUUAGGUCUAUGAUGUAGUUUGUUGUCUGGUUGUUUUUGGAUGUGGAUUAACGCAAUGCUAAUAUGUUUUUUAUUAAAAUUUGA